rnacentral:rRNA from 1 species
CGAUUGUAGUCAUAUGCUUGUCUCAAAGAUUAAGCCAUGCAUGUCUAAGUAUAAGCAAUUAUACAGCGAAACUGCGAAUGGCUCAUUAAAUCAGUUAUCGUUUAUUUGAUAGUACCUUACUACAUGGAUAACCGUGGUAAUUCUAGAGCUAAUACAUGCUAAAAACCCCAACUUCGGAAGGGGUGUAUUUAUUAGAUUAAAAACCAAUGCUCUUCGGGGCUCCCUGGUGAUUCAUAAUAACUUCUCGAAUCGCACGGCCUUGCGCCGGCGAUGGUUCAUUCAAAUUUCUGCCCUAUCAACUUUCGACGGCAGGGUCUUGGCCUGCCAUGGUGACAACGGGUAACGGAGGGUUAGGGCUCGACCCCGGAGAAGGAGCCUGAGAAACGGCUACUACAUCCAAGGAAGGCAGCAGGCGCGCAAAUUACCCAAUCCCGACUCGGGGAGGUAGUGACAAUAAAUACUGAUACAGGGCUCUUUUGGGUCUUGUAAUUGGAAUGAGUACAAUUUAAAUCCCUUAACGAGGAACAAUUGGAGGGCAAGUCUGGA